GGGAGUUCCUGGCGCCUAGGGCUGGCCUCUGGCUGCUAGACUCCUUCAUCCCCUAGCCAAAGAGCCACCUUCCCAGGUUCUGGGGUGAGACUUACCCAGGACCGGCUCUAGGCACCAGCAAAGCAAGCACGGGCUUGGGGCGGCACAUUUCCAGGGGCGGCAUUACGGCCAUCCUUUUUUUUUCAGAAAAAUCCACCAAUGUACGGAAAAAAAAUAGUACAUGAAGAUCAAAAAAAUCUCCACUAGUGCAAUAGGCACAUGAUGUGAAAAAUAUCGUGUCACGUCGUGACACGGUCACUCAUAAUGUGAAUGUGCAUAAAUGUGUAAACAGUUAUUGAUUAAUUAAAUCAGGAAUCAGGAUUACUUGCGUGUACUGUGCCACCCUAUCGGUGCCAUUCGCACCAAUUUCCAUGUCGCGUCGGUGCAAGU